rnacentral:lncRNA from 1 species
CUCUCUCACCUGCUCCCCUUCCAGCCUCCAGGAACGAAUCGACAGCCGCAAUGGCCUUGCUGCAGCUCCUCUUCCAUGGCUUCUCUGCCUUCGCCCCUUCCUCUCCGCCUCCCCCAUCCUUCUCUGCUCCGUUUUCUACGCCCAACUCCUCUUCCAUCACAGGUUGAUCGAGUCGUUCGACUCAAAAACCGCGACUAGUCGAGACUAGUCGGGACUAGUCGAUCAAGUCGCUCGACUCAUCCAAUGAUUCGAGUCGACAGGUUGAGUCAACCUUCAUGUAACGACUCGUCGACUAGUCGACGACUAGUCGCGACUAGUCGUUCGACUCGAAAUCCAUGGACAAAAUAUAAGAGCCUUUCUAACAAAUACACUUUUGCAGUUGAUAAAUUUAUUUGACACUCAUUUCGAAUCCGUGCAAGGGAUCUGUGCCACGUUGAUGCAUCAGAAAUGUGGCAGUUAAUAUUGACAGCAGCAGCUAAAGAAUAGACUAACUACCAAUGAACUAAAUAGCAUAGAGAAUCAUAACAAAAGGUCUGCUCUGACCAAAACAAAUAUGAAGGUAAUAUGAGCUUCAGAUUAUAAAAAACAGAGACAUAGCAGAUCAAAGGGCAAUCGAUAACCAGAUGAAUAGAACUGUCAAUAGCUACAAGCAUUGGAGGAAAAAAGGGCAAUCGUUUGACUCAUAUAUAGUACGUACAACUAGAAAGGCAAAAACGAUGCCAACUAGAAACCAACCCAAGUAAAGCUAGGGUUGUUGGGUUCGUCACCAAGAGAAGAUAUCAAUCCAGAUCCGGAUCUCACAUCAACACAAUAGAGAAAUAGAAAAUUAAAAACAAUGUAUAGUGGAGAAAAAAAAACUGAGUAUUUGUAGCGUAGCAAGAGGGCUCAGUUUUGCCUUUUAUCUUGAAGCCCAACACUCACGUCUCUUGCUGCAUAACCUACCCAUCGCGAUGUAAUUGAACUGCCCUGGUUAUCACUCAUCAGAAUGACCAUCCGAGGCGCAGAACAUCCAACAUUAGCCAUGAAUUGAAUAGGCUGCAAGAGAAGUAAGGGUGAGAGCUCUUAAGGGCAUCUCCAACGCCGGCACCCAUUUGGGGCCUAUUUAGUACCCACAUGCCACGGCUGUCUUGAUUGCUCAACACAUAAUUAUUUCAGCCGCAGGCAUCAUCAUCGCCCUUUUUUUUUAAAAAAAAAAAGGUCAAACCCCCCAAGCAACAUGACCAUAACAUCCAUCAUCCAUCCAUCCAUUCAUCCAUCAGACUAGCCAUAGUGGUGAGUAACUUAGACAAUCUCAGGAGCUGCUCAUACCUGGCCUUGACCGACCAAACCUCCUGGUGUGGACGACACAUCAGACAACGCCUUACGGUUCCCAGCCACGCCACAACCAAAUCCAAGGCAAUGGACUGGCGGCGGCUGGCAGCACCGUAGAGACCGGGAACUGACAUGGCAGCUACCCGGACGAUGGGUCAGCGAGUCGGCAAUGAAAGCUUGACUGAUUUGUUUAAGGGAGAGANNNNNNNNNNNNNNNNNNNNNNNNNNNNNNNNNNNNNNNNNNNNNNNNNNNNNNNNNNNNNNNNNNNNNNNNNNNNNNNNNNNNNNNNNNNNNNNNNNNNNNNNNNNNNNNNNNNNNNNNNNNNNNNNNNNNNNNNNNNNNNNNNNNNNNNNNNNNNNNNNNNNNNNNNNNNNNNNNNNNNNNNNNNNNNNNNNNNNNNNNNNNNNNNNNNNNNNNNNNNNNNNNNNNNNNNNNNNNNNNNNNNNNNNNNNNNNNNNNNNNNNNNNNNNNNNNNNNNNNNNNNNNNNNNNNNNNNNNNNNNNNNNNNNNCUCAGUUUUGCAUUUCAUCUUCAAACCCAACACUCACAUCUCUUGCUGCAUAAUCUACCCAUCACAAUGUAAGAGAACUGCCCUGGUUAUCACUCAUCAGAAUGACCGUCCAAGGUGCAGAACAUCCAACAUUACCGAUGAAUUGAACAGGCUGCAAGGGAGGUAAGGGUGGGCUCUAAUUUAGUACCCACAGGCCAGUCAUCAUCAUCGCCCCUCAUUUUUUACCGAAAAGGAGGUUGUACCCCCGGCCUUUGCCCACCAAGCAAGAUGACCCUCAUAUCCAUACAUACAUACUCCCUCUGUAAAGAAAUAUAAGAGCGCUUAGAUCAUGCUCCCUCCGUUUCUAAAUAUAAGCCUUUAUAGAGAUUCCAAUAUGGACUACAUACGGAGCAAAAUGAGUGAAUUUACAUGCGUGCACAUGUCCACCCAUCCAACCCCAUCAGCCUCAGGAGCUACUCAUGCCUGGCCUGGACCGAACAACCAAACCUGAUGACGCCCCAGAUAACACCGUAUGGUUCCCGGCUCACGCCACAGCCAAUUCCAAGGCAAUGGAACGGCAGAGGCUGGCAGCACCGCAGCAGUGAACUGAAGAGGGCACCACCCAGACGAUUGGACAGCGAGUUGGCAAUGAGAGCUCGACUGAUUUGGCUUAGGGUUAGAGGUAGAGGGGUGGGGGUAUAUGUAGCAUAGCAAAAGAGGCUCAGUUUUGUCUUCCAUCUUCAAGCCCAAACCCUCACCAUCUCUUGCUGCAUAAUCUACCCAUCACGAUGUAAGAGAACUGCCAUGGUUAUCACUCAACAGAAUGACCAUCCGAGGCACAAAGCAACCAACAUCAGCAAUGAAUUGGACAGGCUGCAAGAGAGGCAAGGGUGGGCUCUAAGGCCAACUCCAACGCGGACACCGAUUUGUUCAGCUCUGUUUAGUACCACCACGCCACGGCUGUCUUGAUUGCUCAAGACAUGAUUAUUUCAGCCAUCAUCAUCAUCACCAUCAUCAUUGCCCCUCUUUUUCCCCCAAAAAGGAGGUUCACCCCCCGUCCGGGAAGGCAACAUGACCAUGAUAUCCAGACAUACAUACUCCCUCCGUUCCAAGAUGUACUCCCUCCGUCCCAAACUAAGUGUCAUGGUUUUAGUUCAUGACACAUGAACGCAUACAUCCAUCCAUCCAUCCUGCUCAGGAGCUGCUCAUACCUGGCCUCGACCGACCAAAUCUCCCAGCUCGAACGACGCAUCAGACAACAGAGCACAGUUCCAGCCCACGCCACAACCGAAUCCAAGGCAAUGGAACGGCGGUGGCUGGCGGCUCCGUAGCGGUGUGGAACUGAUGCAGCGGCCACCGGGACGAUGGGUCAGGGAUCCGGCAACGAGAGCUCGCCUGAUUCGGUUUAGGACUUACCGGUGUGAACAAUGCUCGCGCGCAGACACAGAGUGAGCGAGUGUGUGUGAGCCUGAGAGAGAGAGAGAGAGAGAGAGAGAGAUGGGGAUAGUACCGAAUCGAAAGCAACAUGCAGCCAAGCUGCGACGGCGGCUCAGAUCCCGCGCCGGCCCGACCAAGCCCUCGACCGGAGCGCACCACGGGCCCCGCCGCCCGGUCCCCAGCCCGCGCCGCUGCGGACGCCUCCCGCACAGGCGGCAUUCCCGAGGGGGGCCCCCGAGCCGAUGCGUGACGGCGCGGCGGGAGGGGCUGGGCCCGAGGAGAGGCGACCCGGCGCGCCCGCCGCUCGGGAGACCGGCCGGCGCCAGGCGGCUCCUCCAUCAUCGCCGCCGUUUGGGGAGGGACGCGGCCAUCAGCCACGGCGAGCGGGACGGACGGUGCGGCGGUAUUCGAUUGGAUCCGAUUAGAGCGGUCGCAUCGCGUGCUAUGCUCGCCGCCGCACGCAGCCAUGCCGCCGGUGGCCUCUCGCAGCUGGACUGAUCUGAGGUAGCUAGCUAGCUAGGGUUCGGCGGCGACGGGAGAGGAGAAGAGAUGGAUCCAAAUUAAGUUUCUGAUGAAAAUGGUGAUUUAGGCAAAGGUAACCCGAGGAGGCCUGCGAGGGCCGAAUGAAAGAAAGGGGGACUGGUCUCACGGUGCAUUUUCUCUUGGCAUUUUAUUUUAGAGUAAAAUGCACCGGCAGUCACUCUACUUGCGAAAAGCGCUCAGUUUGGUCACUGUACUUAGAGAUACGGCCAAUACGAUCACCCAAUACAACAAGACGUGUUUGUACGAUCACUAUUACUCGUAUGCCACCCGACGCCGCUUGGUUUGACCACGUAUUGACCUAUCCUUGACGACAGCUGGCAUUAAGCAGGCGGUAGCGCGGUGUUUUUGCAGAAUCCCCCCUGGUUCGUUGUGCUUUAGCCCAAAACGCCUUGCCUGUUCGGCUUCGAUCAUAACAGGGGGAGGAGGAGGAGAGCAGGGGCAGAGGAGGCGAUCGUCGGCGGCAGCGCACCAUCUCCGGUCAUCGAGAUCGCGAAAGGGCCGGAGUCGCCGCGGAGGUGCGCCGCAUCUCCUCAGGAUGGCGCUUGUUCGUCGGCCAGAUGGAGCUCCUCCACCGUACUACGGUAAGCCCCACGUACAUCCGCCAUGAUUGGUGCUUGCAGUCUCCGAUUCCGCGAUUUAGGGUUUCGCAUUGUGCACAUGGAGUUAGGAGGCCAAUUUUGCCCGCAAGUUUUCACAAGAUUUAAGCUAGGGUUUUUGCCUAACAAAUUGGGGGUUUCGGUGUAUGGUUUUUGGCUGACAAAUUAGGGGCUAAGUGCUUGUUUGUGGGUCAUUCUGAAGCAAUUGUAGGCCUUUUAGAUGUUUGAACAUACUAUUGGGGUUUUAGGUUAGCAAAGGUGGUUCCUUGUAGGACAGAAUUGUGCAGAAUUGUGCUCUGUUUUCAUCUUUGACAGUUGACAGAAUUGUGCUCUGUUUUCAUCUUUGACAGAAUUGUGCUUUGUUCUCAUCUUUGUAGGACCACGCAGCAGGAAAUUUUUAGUUCAAUUUAACCAUGGUGGAUAUUUCCUUGGCAAAGGUAGCAACCGUUCUUAUGUCAAUGGGCAUGUGUUGUGGUAUCAUGAUUUGGAUACAGUGACAUGGUCCCCAAUCAUGGUUGAGCACCUAGUUGAGGAGAUUGGUUGGGAGAUGGCAGGAAGGCUGAAGGUUUACUACUACAUUCCAAUCCUAACCUUGCAGAAGAAUGGCUUGAGAGGAAUAAGAGGAGAUGGAGACACAGACCAGAUGAUAACCUUUGUUGAUCUUGGCCACCACUCAUUCAGUCUGUAUUUAGACCAUGAAGACAGUCCGAAUUCAAAUGAUGAUGAUGAUGUGGUCAAUUUCCCAAGAGUGCAUCUACCCCCAGUGUUUAGUCCUUCUAAGAAAGAGUUGAUCGGUCAGAAAGUACUGAGGCUGUAAAUGCAGAGACAGAUGUUCAUGUCCCUGAAGGUGUAGGGCAGGAAGGUGAAGCAAUCCCAAUACAAGUUGUGUAUCCAGAGAGCUUAGAUGUUGAUGUGGGCAAUUAUGUGUUUGCAAGGAGGGAUUGUUCUUUUGGUAACCAGGAUGAAAAUGCUGCAGCUCCAGAUGAUCUCCAGGAAGCAAUACAACACGGAAGUGAUGAAGCUGGAUUAUCAAGAGUAUGCAAAAGGAAAAGCAGACAGAAAAGCAGUUCUGAUUACAUUGAAGAUGUUGAUAGUGACUCAGAUGACUCUGACUUUGAUCCUGGAGCCAUAGUGGACAGUGACUAUGACAUUAGUGAUGGUGAUGAUGAUUUCUAUGCUGACAAUGUAGACAUGGAUGAGCCUGUGGUGACAGAGAAGAAGAAAGAAGAGAAAGGGAAGCAAAAAGUUGAAAAGGGAAAAGAAGCGGUGAAAGGAAAUGAGAAAUAUGGAGAUAAAGCAGCAGCAUAUGAUCAUGAAGAUGAGUUAUAUGCUGACAAUUUUGUAACCAGUUCUACAAUAUACUUCUUUACCCUACUUAUGACUAUGCUUAAUGCCCUGGUUAUAACAUUGCCCAACAUAUGGUCACAUUUGUCCUUUCCAACUUGGAGCAGUUCCAUAGUUAUUUUGCAAGCAAAAUGAACACAACAUUUCAUUGCCUAAUUUGAUAGCACACACACAAGCAUCAGCAACUAGCUUUGCAAUGCACACACACAAGCCAAAUAUGACAAUGGUCAAAUGUGCCCAAAUUGACAACACACACACACACACACACAAGCAUCAUAAACUAGCUUUGCAAUGCACACACACAAGCCAAAUAUGACAAUGGUCAAAUGUGCCCAAAUUGACAGCAUCACCAUAAGACAUCAAAGAUGAUCCAUUAACUUCCAUUUACAGUACAAGAUUGUCACUUGCAUUACAUAUUACCAGAUACAAUGCAAAAGAUUGUCACUUGACACUAACAAUACUACCACAUAGUACCAGCUCAUCUCCUAACAAACUAGGCAUCAUUCCUAACACACUAACAGUGAAAUAGCCAUACUGCAUGAACUACAUAUUGCAUCUACUCCAUCACUUCUUCAGCAGAGAAAUAACUACAAGCACUGCAACUACAAUGAGUGUUGCCAACAGUGCCUUCAUCAUCACCAAUAUUUCAUUGCCUAAACCUACAAGUGCCUCUGCUUGCUGAUUGCUCAUUUGCCCUGGAACUCUUCCAUGAUUUCCAACUUCAAAGCCUGGAAGUUCAACUGCGCCUCCACCUGCAUAACUUUCAUUCCUUGCUUGCACCAGCUCUUCCCUCCUAUCUUCUGCAACUCCUAAUGCAUCUACGGCUUCAUUGCCCGCGAGAAACUGAUUAUCCAGCAAUUAGCCAAUGUAUUCCAACUCCCAAUGCCAUAAAUGGUCCUGAAGAUCAAAAGAAAAGAACAAAUGCCAAAAAUCACAUUACAAGUUCCCAAGAUUCGACCAAAAUGAAGAACAGGGAUGCACUCCACUUACACCAACAGGACACCUGUAGAAGACCCAACCCUCGUGCUUCUCCGUGUUGGAGAGAUAGAACUUAACACGAGUGCGGCAAGAAGGGCAUCUGAUGAGUGGCACCACCAUCGAACGACCACCGAACGAAUACCUGACCGAGCUCGUCGACAUGGGGAGUGGGAGGGAGAGGAGAGGGAGGCGGCAACCGGCAAGGAGAGGGUGGCGGCAAGCGGCAGGGAGACGCCGCCGACAAGCAGCACGGAAGAGGGCAACGACAAAUAGCAGGGAGAGGGCGGCGGCAGAGUGGGGAAUUAAGGAUUCCGCCACAGCGUGGGGUAUUUCAGGGUGGUCGAUGGAUAAUUACAUGCGCGGGGCUAAUUUGCAGAAAUAACCCUCAUCGUGCCGAUGUGGACGACACUGUCUGGUUAAAGCGAGCGGCGACGGGUGGCAUACGAGCAACAGUGACCGUACAAACACGUGUUGUCGUAUUGGGUGACCGUAUUUGUCGUAUUUCUAAGUACAGUGACCAAACUGAACGCUCUUCGCAAGUUGAGUGACUGCCAGUGCAUUUUACUCUUUAUUUUAUUCAACAAGGUCGGCUAAUUUUUCUACAGAAAACUUCUGAUCUAUUCAUGGCAAUCAUGAUAGUACAAAGAACAUCAAAAGUAACAAAAAUUCAAUUUAAAUUUGUAGAUCAUCUAGCGACGACUACAAACACCGAAGGCGUGGCACCAUCAUCGCCCUACACUCGUCGAAGCCGUGCAAAUUUUGUUGUAGUAGAUAGCCGGAAAGUUGUCGUGCUAAGACCCCAUAGUACCAUAACAACAACCACCGCCGAUGAAAAUAAACUAAGAUUGAAAGGAUCUAACUCGAAGACACAAGAAUAUAUAUGAACAAAGACCGGAUCCGAGCUGAUCCACCAAAAACAACCAUGACUAAACCCCUGUGAGAUACGAUGGAGACACACAUCUACACGCACUCCGACGAUGCUAGACGCACCUUAUGGAUGAGGGCUAGGCGGGGAGAACCUUAUUCCGUCUUCAGGGAGUCAUCGUCGUCCGGCCUUCCACUACACAUAACACAAACCCUAACAAAACUCAAAGAAACAUCUAAAAAUGGAGUCCUCCCGCCGGAAAGGGUCGGGAUCCACCACACCAUAUGGCACUAAGGCCGCAUGAGACGAGGCAGAGCAGAUUGGCGGCGCCAACAGUAGGCGGGAACCCUAGUCGCGUGUUCGCUUGGGAGGAGAGAUGGAGAGAUAAGUUGAAUCGGAACAACGUGUUGGCCAGUUCUUUUGUGGCUUACUUGGAGCUGUGGAAGUUGCCCCUACCCAGUUUAUUCUAAAAGCCUAAUAUAAAAUAUUACUUUAGAAACUUCCUAAUUAAGGGUUAUCAGUCAAACAUGGACCAUCAAUCAACAACAAUUACUAAAUCCACCUCAAACAACGUCCCCCUUCAUAUAGCUAAAAAUAGAGAACCUAGGGCCCGUUCGGAUCCCGUCAUCGCCCGUGCGCAGAACAGACGGGAGACACCAGGGACUGCAAACGUCCCUUGCCGAUUCAUAGAUAGAGCGCAAGGUGAGGGCCUACCGCAAUGAGAAAUGCACGAAAUGACACAACAAUCUACCCAGGUUCGGGCCGCAUGAUUUUGCAAUGCCCUACUACUUCUUCAUGUGUGGUUUAUUUGGUGAGCAGUGGACUACAAGUCCUUUACGGGAACAGUAAGAGUAGUGUACUCCUACCGGUGUUCUACCAAGCAUUCAACCCUCUUCUUAGUAGCCAGGUCCUCCCAAGGGGUAUCAUAAUGGCUUCAUUGCUAAGGAAACUACCUCGCCCCGACAAGGUAGGUACGCGCAUUAAAUGCGCGAUGAAGUGUUAUCGUCUCCUGACUCCCGGGAAUGAACAACCAUCUUUUCACCGCCGCUCAAGGUGGUGCCUUCGUCUGGUCAUCCUUUCAGUAUGUAAGCGGAUGACUUGACCCCGGCGCCGCUGUAACUGCACCGCCCAGGCUGCCUGCUAAGGAUGGCAAUUUUAUCCAUGGAUAUCCGACCCGAAUGGAUAGGGUUUGGAUGUGCUUUUGUGUCCAUGGCGGCGCCCAAACCCGACCCGAUUGUUCGUGGGUAGGGCAUGGAUAUAAUAUUGUACCCAUGGAUAUACCCAAACCCGACCCAAUAGUAUGACUUAAUGGGGGAAAAUGUGCUAUCCCUACCCCACGGUCACAUGUCCCACGACAAUUUUACACUUUUUUUAAUCUAAAACAUGCACAAGAAGUUACACAAUCCCCAUUGUAACUUUUAUGAGUUGACAUUCAAUCCCCUCCGUAACAUACUCCAAUGCCCCUUCCCUUAUUUUUAUCUCCUUAAAUGACUCGUCAUUCUCAUCUGUUAGAAAAAUACUAAAUGAUCUUAGGUUGUUAGUGGAUGUUGAUUUAUCAUAAGUGAAGCCUAGCCUGCCACGAGGUGAAGAAUGGAAGAGUUUAUGUUUAUAUUGUGUUACGUCUUAUUUAUAUGUCUCGAGAGGACCCAAUGGAUAUCUAGUGGGUAUGGAUAUCCAUCGGAUUUGGACAUGGACACAGUUUUUCACCCAUGGAUUUUUUCAUGGGCGGGCAAAGACUGUCUUUAUGGAUAUGGAUAUGGAUUUCAUAUUGUUCAACCCGAUCCAAACCCGACCCAUUGCCAUCUUCACUCAUGACGUGACACAAAAAGGACUGUACAAGCAAGAAGAACUAAUGCCAUGUGUUGUAGAAGAACUAAUGCAAUGAUGCCACAUCACCAAGUUAUGCAUGGAGUCACAAGUUACUUUUUACAUUAAUCCCUUCAUGUAAAACAUACCACCUCAUGCAUGACUUUUUUUUCCAGGGAAUUAAGUCAUGUAAGACACUUUUGCAUCUGUUUUUGCAUUAAUUUUAGUCUUAUUAUAUCAUUUAAUCGUACAUGUUUUUAUUCUUAAAAUAGCUACAAACCACCACCUAGUUUUCCUUUCCACGCAACAAUGCCUCAACAAAGUUAUGCAUGGAGUCAUAAGUUACUUUUUUUAUUAACCCUUUCAUGCAAAACAUACCACCUCAUGCAUGACUUUUCAAGGGAAUUAAGUCAUGUGAGACACUUCUAUAUUUGUUUUUUACAUUUAUUUUAGUCGUAUAUCACUUAAGGUCUUAAGCAUACAAUUAUUUAACAAGGUUCCCGCAGCAACUCGCGGGACAUCGCCUAGUGUUCCGAAACCAUGGUUUCAACACAAGGAAACCAUGCGUUCAACACAAGCUGGGUACUUGUGUGGAUGUCCAUAUCCGAUUGACCAGCUGACCGCUAGUCGCCGUACCUAAACAUAUCUAUACCACUACCAUUUAAUGUACAUUAUUUAUUUAUUUUUGAACCGGGCAUAACCCCUUUCCAUUACUGCGACAUAACGGAAAUACAAACAAGUCCACAGAAUGAGACGGGAGAGGGGAAGCGGGUUCAAGCAUAGCCGAGAAACCUACUGUGAGCACUCGCCAUCGAGAUAAACCACUGUAGGGCAAAAACCCGGCGACACCAAGUCAUUCAGAGUUUCAGACGAGGCAACCCCCAGACAGCUCACAGGUGAGCACCAAAAUGACAGUCCCACACAGGGGAGAGACUUCAGGAAUGAAACAUAAAACCGAGGCAACAUCAGAAAUACGCGUCUUCUUGUGAUGACGCAUCACCAUUCCCUCCAGCAGUUCUCCAGCGAGCUUCUCAGUCUUCGUUUGCAACGCAGAUGCGCAUCAGCCUCAAUGCACUAUUCUUCAGCAUGUCUACACCUGCUCGCAGGUCCACCACAUCCUCUUGCUUCAACAGUCUUGCCCAGUAACCAAGAAAAGCACACAUAGAAAAGCAACAUUCAAAAGGUGUUUGCAAACACUUAGAUUCGAACGUAACACCAUUGCGACAUGUCCAAAUAGCCCAGCAAAGUGCAGCUAUGCCAACUGUGUAGAAAAUCUCCCCACUUGGAAAGUAAACAUAACACCAGGAGUAAGCCUGCCAUAAACUGUUCGGGCACAAAUCAGUGCCGAGUAUGCAGGCAACACUUCUCCAAGUCACCCUAGCUAUAGGGCAAGUUAAGAAGAGAUGCUGAGAAGUCUCAUUCUCUCCACAGAAUGAACAUUUCGGGUUUCCUUUCCACCCUCUUUUUUUCAUCACCUCCCGAGUAAGGAUAGCAUCCUGGAAUAGCUGCCACAUAAAGAUUUUGAUCUUUAAAGGAACACCAGCUUUCCAAACCCACCCAAAACUGCACCCUGUGAUGUUUCUUUCCAAGAAAGAAUAAACCGAUUUGGUCGUAAAGACUUUUUUGGGACCCAGGCCCCACUUAAUGUAAUCUAAUUCAUCAGAUACACAGCUACCUCUAGCCUCCGAAAGAAACAUUGCAUUCAGGUACACUUAAUGUAAUCUCCUUCCAAAGAAAGUUAAAGGAUCUGCCUCCCAGCAAUUUUCCACAGUGCAUUCAGGGGAGUUGCAGAUUGAGAAUAACUGAAGGGAACUGGUCCUUAAAUGGUUUCUGAUCACCAAUGGGAUCGAUCCAAACCCUUGCUAUAUUCCUAGAUUGAAUAAUAACUCUUCUGCCAUAUAAAGGUUUUUCACCUUCAUAAUAGCUUUCCAGCAAGGCGAAUCAUUCACCUUUGCUUUGACAGAAGCUACCGUAUCUCUACCAAGGUAUUUAGCUUUAAUAAUCUCCUGCCAAAGACCAUUUUUGGUCUCCAACUUCCACCACCAUUUAGUAAGAAGGCUUAGGUUUUGCUUAUGUAAAUCUUUCACACCCAAACCACCUUUCUCCUUCGAUCUACAGAUACGAGUCCAUCGCACUAGAUAGUAGCGUUUUCUCUUUUUAGACACUUGCCAAAAAAAUCUUCUACAGUGUUUAUCCAACCUGUCAAUAAUGGUCUUCGACAGGAGGAACAUAGAUAAGUGUACAUUAUAACUGUUGAUCAUUUAAAUCUAGGACAUUGAUAAGUGUCACACGGGUGACACAAACACACGGCAACUUCGAAUAUUUUUCAGACAAGUUUAGUGACAUGAGGAUGAAUACUUUCUUUUCAAAUGGCAGGUUUACUUUUUUUAGGCUUUUUUUCAGAUGGCAAUUUUAGUUGUAAAAAACGUCAGGUCCAGAUUGCUUCGUGCAUGACACUUAUCAUUUGGGUAAAUGGUCGAGAGUAGUAGUAGCCUGCCACUACCUCCACCGUAUUGAACAUUGCUUGCAGCUUGAGCUGAGUAGCUGAAACUGCCAGUUCCAAUCCAGCCGAUGGAGACUGCGGCACUUCAGAAUCCAGAUGAAACUGUAUAACGAGACAUAACGGUAGACAGGUAGAGGAAACUCAAUAUUUAGAUUCUCAACAUUAUGCCUCUAGGUAAUGAAUAAUAAAAAUCUUCCUUACAAAUAGUAGUUAUGUACUGGGCAUUAUCUGUGUAUGUAUAGCAACAAUUUCAAAUAGUUUAUUCUGAUAUUUACUGGGCAUUAUCUAUGUAUAUGUAUGGCAACACUGAACAUAUAUAUGGCUAGAAAAUAGUCAAGAAUAUUCAGGGACAACUGUAGUUCUCGCAAAACGAAAUACACCUUCUGUUCCUAAAUGUAAGACGUUAAUUGAACUGCCAAAACAGCUUACAUUUAGGAACAGAGGUAGUACUUAAAAAUCUCAAACAACAUAACUUACAAACAGCAUCAACAGGCCACUAAAUUCUGGGAGUAAACUGUACUAGGCACAUAGCUGUCAAAAACAAAAUACAGGGAACUGGUUCCAGAGAUGAAAAAGAGGAAUAAUAUUGUAAGUACAGAUUGUGUGGUACUAGUACAGUUGCACCGAGGGCUCAUGCAUAAAGCCAAGCCACUGACAUGGCAAUUACUAGUAUUCUCGCCAUCUUAAUGCUCAUAUGCACUCACACUCGGUUGCAUCCUAAUGUGAUUGACCAUAUGAAUUACAGCACCACCAACACUUGCAUAUAUGACUUGAACAGGCAUCACUACAGAGAAGGGCGGCCAUAUAAAAAAGCAGGAAGGACUAAACAGGAACGCUGAGCAUAGAAACAGAACAUGCAAGUAACAAAGGACGUACAGUUGCAAAUAACAGCAUAUUUUGAACAAAAGAUGUGAAGCCCUCUGCCGCUUCCCAGGGCCCUCAAAUAAAGUAGAACCUCUUGAUGCAUCAGUAAGUAAAAGCAUUCUGAGUAUGUAAGUGUAAAAUAGCACAAAAUCCAGUUUGCUAUGAGCAUAUCUUGUAAGUUCCACAGAUGAUAACAUAUAUUACAGUGAGAUCCCAAUACUGCUAUAGUUCAUUAAUAGAUUGAGAAUAUUCAAAAACAUACAUAAGCAAAUAACCACAGAUUGUAGAAAGAGAGGUCAUAUUUAUCAAUAAAAAUGGGAGGCUCAGAGUUGGCUUGUCUAUCAUAUGGUCAACCCACUCUGUAUAGUGUAUCCUUGGUGAUCCGCGUUGGAGAUGCCCUUACACCCGUGUGACAUUUGAGCAUUGAAAUGGUUGCUCACAGAAAGCAAGCCGUCCCGAUUUGCACACUUCCACCUAGUCACACAAAACCCUAACCCAAAACCAUACCCGUAAAACAAGCAAUAGUAUCUGAACUCAGUACACCUCUAAUGAGCCUUACUCAUCAUCGCCAUCAACAGAACUUAGCACAAAUUCCACAAACAGAAUAACAGAGAAGCCAAUAGCAAAUCAUGAUCUGGUGGGCACAAAAGUUGGGACGUGUACAAGUAAAUGGCUCAGAUAUACCCCCAGCUCAACACCAUAACUGAACUUCUGGUAGAAGGACCAUGGAAUCUCUCUCUCUCCCUCUCUCUCUCCCUCCCUCCGUCCCUCCCUCCCUCCCUCCCUCCACUGUUAAGUGUAUUCAUAAUUCCAACAUUUAAGAAUUAUAGUUAGCCGCUAAACUGGUUACUUGCUGUCACACAAGCCCUCCUAGUUUAGUACCAACUGAAUCAGUUCAGGUGUUAGACAGAAGCUCUCACAGGGAAGCUAUAUCAUCACAGCCAUUCAUGGACAUGACAGGAAGGAAACAGUAAUGUUCGCAUCUGAACUUGCCCUAUAUGACCUUUAAGUCGAAAUCAGUAAAGAAGUAAAAUUAUCCGAAAAUACUAGUAACUGAUAAGUGGAUACAGUACAGUAAAAGAAUGAAAUUAUCAAAAGUCAAAUAGCAAUUGAAAGAAGAAAACUGACCCCGCACCAAAUAAGAUAGUUUCGAAAACUUUCCAAGGGAAAGCAGAACUAUCAUAGCAUUCAAGAAAAAGGGAGAACAGAAGGAAAAUGUGAGUACUGUUCCUAAAACAACAGAACUGGUUGACAUACAGCAAAACAAACAAAAUGGGUAAAAUGGGUAGGAAAAAAGGCCGAAAUGUAACCUUGCAAAACAGUCCUUUGCAUACCGAAAGAACUAAAACCAAAACCAAACUCUCAUCAUAUCUUUUAUGUAUACAUGGAUACAGGCCGGCAAGAAAGACAAAUUCUCAAAAAGGUAAAGAUAGUCAUGGUAUUUUCACAACACAAGAUUUUUGUGGUUUUCCACGUAUUGGCGUCUAUAAGCAUUAGAAUGGUCAUCAGCAAAAAAACAAACCGGCCAAAUUGUAUUCUUAGAGGCCAGUUAGCAGUUGCUGUGCUAUGCCAAGACAGUAGAAAAAAUGUUGAAAUCUUGCAGACUUGAAUUUACAUCACUGCCAUAAGAACCACUAGAAAUUUAAUGGGGACAUAAAGGAGGACAUGCAGACAGGAAAAGAGGGCAAACAUUUGCUGAUCAUGUUUCACACAUUUAACCCCAUGAAAAGAAGGAAGUAAACACAUUCAACCACUACCAAUACUAGGACCACCACAAUGUGACGAGCUUGAGCAAAGCCUGAAUGCGCAAAACUGGUCCCUCCAUGGACCACAAAAUCAGGAGAAGGCAAACCAAACACCAUGACAAUUUAUCACUUUAAACAUAAUAACUUUUUUAUGAAUUGGAUGUGGGAGCGCACAGUAUUAGUUGCAUUGAGAGGGCUCAGAUUCGCCUUUGAUAGAUCAUACUAGCCCCGCCAUCUUCUUUCACCAGAUCAUCCCCCACCAUUGAAGUCAAGCUUUGCUGGUUAUCACUCAACAGAAUGACCAUCCAAGACAGAGCCGCCAAUAUUCGGUGAGAAUGAAAAGGUCCCAAAAGAGGGGAGAUCGGGUUUUGAUACCCACAGCUCCUCAAAUAAUCGAAGACAGGUUUAUGUCAGCCAUGUUUGAUCAUCAUCGCCCCUCAUAGAUAGAUACUCCCUCUGUUCACAAAUAUAAGAUGUUCUAACUUUUUUAUGAAUCGGAUGUAGGAGGGCUCACAUUCGCCUUUGAUAGAUCAUACUAGCUCCACCAUCUUCCUUGACCAGAUCAAACCCCACCAUUGAAGUCAAGCUCUGCUGGUUAUUACUCAACAGAAUGACCAUCCAAGACAGAGCCGUCAAUAUUCGGUGAGAAUGAAAAGGUCCCAAAAGAGAGGAGAUCGGAUUUUUGAUACCCACGGCUCCUCGAAUAAUCUAAGACAAGUUCAUGUCAGACAUGUUUGACCAUCAUCUCCCCUGAUAUGGAUAGAUAGAUAGAUAGAUAGAUACUCCCUCCGUUCACAAAUAUAACAGUAUUUGUAGCAUAGCAAAGAGGGCUCAGUAUGCGUGUCAUCUUGAAGCCCAACACUCACAAGUCUUGCUGCAUGAUCUACCCAUCGUGAUGUAAGAGAACUGACCUGGUUAUCACUCAUCAGAAUGACCGUCCGAGGCGCAGAACAUCCAACAUUAGCGAUGAAUUGACCAGGCUGCAAGAGAGGUAAGGGUGGGCUCUUAAGGGCAUCUCCAACGUGGGCGCACCCAUUCAGGCCCUAUUUAGUACCCAUACGUCACGGCUGUCUUGAUUGCUCAAGACAUAAUUAUUUCAGCCACACGCAUCAUCAUCGCCCCUCAUUUUUUUCCCAAAAGGACGCCGAACCACAAGCAACAUGACCAUGAUAUACAUACACAUAGGCAUGCAUACACCCAUCCGUCCGUCCAUCCAUCCAUCUCAGGAACUGCUCAUACCUGGCCUCGACCAACCAAACCUCCCGCUCAGACGACGCAUCAGACAACACCGUACGGUUCCCAGCCAACGCCACAAACCGAAUCCAAGGCAGUGGAAUGGCGGUGGCUGGCCCCGUAGCGGUGUGGAACUGAUGCAGCGACCACCCAUCCGAUGGGUCAGUGAGUCGGCACUGAGAACUCAACUGAUUUGGUUUAGGGUUUGAAGAGAGAGACAGAGGGAGAGGUUACAAAGAUCGUAAGCAAAAGAUGGCUCAGUUUUGCAUUACAUCUUCAAACCCAACACUCACAUCUCUUGCUGCAUAAUCUACCCAUCGCGAUAUAAGAGAACUGCCCUGGUUAUCACUCAUCAGAGUGACCAUCCGAGGGACAGCCAUCCAACAUCAGCCAUGAAUUGAACAGGCUACAAGAGAGGUAAGGGUGGGCUCUAAGGCCAACUCCAACGCGGCCACUGAUUCUAUUUAGAGCAUGGUUAAUAGUAUAGCUGGCUGCUGGCUAUAGGCCGUCUUGAUUGCUCAAGACAACUUAUUUUAGCCACAGUCGUCAACAUCAUCAUCAUCAUCGCCUGCUGCACACCAAGCAACAUGAUAUCAUGUACUCCCUCCGUCCGAAAAUACUUGUCAUCGAAAUGGAUAAAAGAGGAUGUAUCUAGACGGGAGUAUGCAUGCAUCCAUCCAUCCUGCUCAGGGCAUGUACAAUGGUGGCAUAUGUAUUAUACCAGGCCUCGACCGACCAAACCCCCCGCACGGACGACACAUCAGACAAUCACCCUACGGUUCCCUGCCCGCGCCACAACCGAAUCCAAGCCAAUGGAAUGGCGGUGGCCGGCGGCACCGUGGCGCUGGGGAACUGACGCGGCGCCCGCCGGGACGACGGGUCAGCGAUGCGGCAACGAGAGCUCGGCUGAUUUGGUUCAGGUGCGCGCGUCCACACCGAGGGAAAGAGAGAGCGCGUGUGAAUCAGAGAGAGAGAGAGAGAGAUGGUGACAGUACCGAACCCGAAGCAAGAUGCAGCCAAGCUGCCAAGAUUCCAUCGACGGCGGCUCAGAUCCGGCGCCAGCACGAGCAAGCCCUCGACCGGGACCCGCCACAGGCCGCGCCGCCGCGGACGCCCCCCGGCACCGGCGGCAUCGCCUAGGGGUCGCCAAGCCGAUGCGCGGGGCGCGGCGGGAGGGGCUGGCCCCGAGGAGCGGCGAGUCCGCCUGUCGGGAGCCUGGCCGGCCGUCGCCGGCGGCUCCCUCCAUCAUCGCCGCCGUUCGGAGAGGGGAGAGGAGAAGAGAUGGAUCCAGAUCCGCAUGGGGGAUGGAUCUUCGCUCCAGUUCCAGAUCCGCGGCAGGUACAAGGGUCAAAACACGAAAUUUUGCCAAAAGCCAUGGAGGAGACUCAUCACUGGAGAGGAAGAGAAGCCCCGGGAGACGAGAUCACGAGAGUGGCGGCUAGACUUGACCGGGCGGUGCACGUGUCGUGUUG